GUGGGGAAUAUUGCGCAAUGGGCGGAAGCCUGACGCAGCGACGCCGCGUGAGGGAUGAAGGCCUUCGGGUUGUAAACCUCUUUCAGCAGGGACGAAGCGGAAGUGACGGUACCUGCAGAAGAAGCACCGGCCAACUACGUGCCAGCAGCCGCGGUAAUACGUAGGGUGCAAGCGUUGUCCGGAAUUAUUGGGCGUAAAGAGCUCGUAGGCGGUCUGUCGCGUCGGCUGUGAAAACUCGGGGCUCAACUCCGAGCCUGCAGUCGAUACGGGCAGACUUGAGUGCUGUAGGGGAGACUGGAAUUCCUGGUGUAGCGGUGAAAUGCGCAGAUAUCAGGAGGAACACCGGUGGCGAAGGCGGGUCUCUGGGCAGUGACUGACGCUGAGGAGCGAAAGCGUGGGGAGCGAACAGGAUUAGAUACCCUGGUAGUCCACGCCGUAAACGGUGGGUGCUAGGUGUAGGCGGUAUUCCACGCCGUCUGUGCCGCAGCUAACGCAUUAAGCACCCCGCCUGGGGAGUACGGCCGCAAGGC
rnacentral:rRNA from 1 species